GCAGUCGAGCGAGAGAUGGGAGCUUGCUCCCUGAUCUUAGCGGCGGACGGGUGAGUAACACGUGGGCAACCUGCCCUGCAGACUGGGAUAACUCCGGGAAACCGGAGCUAAUACCGGGUAAUACAUCGCACCGCAUGGUGCAAUGUUGAAAGUUGGCCUUUGGCUAACACUGCAGGAUGGGCCCGCGGCGCAUUAGCUAGUUGGUAAGGUAACGGCUUACCAAGGCGACGAUGCGUAGCCGACCUGAGAGGGUGAUCGGCCACACUGGGACUGAGACACGGCCCAGACUCCUACGGGAGGCAGCAGUAGGGAAUCUUCCGCAAUGGACGAAAGUCUGACGGAGCAACGCCGCGUGAGUGACGAAGGCCUUCGGGUCGUAAAGCUCUGUUGUUAGGGAAGAACAAGUACCGUUCGAAUAGGGCGGUACCUUGACGGUACCUAACCAGAAAGCCACGGCUAACUACGUGCCAGCAGCCGCGGUAAUACGUAGGUGGCAAGCGUUGUCCGGAAUUAUUGGGCGUAAAGCGCGCGCAGGCGGUCUUUUAAGUCUGAUGUGAAAGCCCACGGCUCAACCGUGGAGGGUCAUUGGAAACUGGAGGACUUGAGUGCAGAAGAGGAGAGUGGAAUUCCACGUGUAGCGGUGAAAUGCGUAGAUAUGUGGAGGAACACCAGUGGCGAAGGCGGCUCUCUGGUCUGUAACUGACGCUGAGGCGCGAAAGCGUGGGGAGCAAACAGGAUUAGAUACCCUGGUAGUCCACGCCGUAAACGAUGAGUGCUAGGUGUUGGGGGGUUCCACCCUCAGUGCUGAAGUUAACACAUUAAGCACUCCGCCUGGGGAGUACGACCGCAAGGUUGAAACUCAAAGGAAUUGACGGGGGCCCGCACAAGCAGUGGAGCAUGUGGUUUAAUUCGAAGCAACGCGAAGAACCUUACCAGGUCUUGACAUCCUCUGACAAUCCUGGAGACAGGACGUUCCCCUUCGGGGGACAGAGUGACAGGUGGUGCAUGGUUGUCGUCA
rnacentral:rRNA from 2 species